rnacentral:rRNA from 1 species
UGGCUUAGGACGAACGCUGGCGGCGUAGCCUAACACAUGCAAAGUCGAACGAUAAUCUACUUAUGAAAUUUCGGAUGGAUUAGGUAGAGGAAAGUGGCGAACGGGUGAGUAGCGCGUGAGCAAUCUGCCUUGUACUGGGGGAUAACGUCGGGAAACCGGCGCUAAUACCGCAUAAUACUACGAGAUCGCAUGGUCAUAUAGUCAAAACUCCGGUGGUACAAGAUGAGCUCGCGUCCAAUUAGCUAGUUGGUGGGGUAAUGGCCCCACCAAGGCGACGAUUGGUUGCCGAACUGAGAGGUUGAUCGGCCACAUUGGGACUGAGACACGGCCCAGACUCCUACGGGAGGCAGCAGUGGGGAAUAUUGCGCAAUGGAAGGGAACUCUGACGCAGCAACGCCGCGUGAAGGAUGAAGGUUUUCGGAUUGUAAACUUCUUUGAUCGGGGACGAAAUUGACGGUACCCGAGGAACAAGCCACGGCUAACUACGUGCCAGCCGCUGC